UAGGCCUGGGUUAAUAUCACAUCUAGUCGGUUGGAAUUUGGAUCCAGAAAGCCUAAAGUGGAGCUAAUCUGCUUUAAGCCAUACUGAGGAGGAGGAGAUCUUGCAGGACGACCGAAAUGUACUUGCUGUCGCUGCCACUAUUCUUACCCGACUCCGUUUCUUUUUACGUUUUGUUUGAUUUUAUUGAAAAAUAAGCGAACAGAGAGAGCCAAAAAGGAGGCGAUCAAGGACGCAGGUCGUGUGGCGGAUCUACUGGUGGAAGCAGUGAACAGAGUAGUGUAAGAGCUGUUCAUCAACGAGAAGCGAAUCGAGCUAGAGAUUCGUGCAUUAGCGGCCACGAUUAUGCAGUUCAUUAAGCAUACUGAUCAUUGGCUCGCUGCCUCUAACACCAUCAACACUGCUUUUAAGGAAAUAGGAGACUUUGAGAACUGGAUGAAGACAAUGGAAUUUGAUUGUAGAAGCAUCAAUGCGGCAACUCGCAACAUACACCAAGAAUGAAUAACGACGGAGUCCCGGCCAGAAACAGCUAGAAUAUCUGCACAGGAAACAACUCUAGGGCAAAGAGCCUCCAGCUGAGAUUUAAUGGUGUCUAAUGGCAUCAAAACCCCGCAAAGAAUCAGCAUUUGGACCAGCUGACUUCUCUCUAGUGAAGUUUGAAGUGUCAUCCAAUAGCCGCCACACGCCUCGCGUCCUUCUGUAAUUUAGCAAGUAAUUGACUAAACUCAUAAAUCGGACAAGCCCAUGGACAUUUUUUUUUUUGGUGAUUUGAACUUUGAUAUUCAGUGUAGUGGAGCAACUUUGUCUCUGCGUUGUUGAAUGUGGAGGGAUUGAGAUUGUUAUUGUCUAAGACAUAGUGUAGUGACUUUAUCACCAAGCCUGCGCAGGAUCGAGAAUCAUAGUUUUUUUUUUUUUU